rnacentral:rRNA from 1 species
CAGCCGCCGCGGUAAUACGGAGGGUGCAAGCGUUAAUCGGAACUACUGGGCGUAAAGCGUGCGUAGGCGGUUCGUUAAGUCUGUUGUGAAAGCCCCGGGCUCAACCUGGGAAUGGCAAUGGAUACUGGCGAGCUAGAGUGUGUCAGAGGAUGGUGGAAUUCCCGGUGUAGCGGUGAAAUGCGUAGAGAUCGGGAGGAACAUCAGUGGCGAAGGCGGCCAUCUGGGACAACACUGACGCUGAGGCACGAAAGCGCGGGGAGCAAACAGGAUUAGAUACCCCAGUAGUCCCUGUCUCUUAUAC